rnacentral:rRNA from 1 species
AUGCAUGUUGAUACUAUAAUGGAAUCUCGUGAUGCAACAUUUUUUGAGAACAUAUUUCCUAUGAAAGAUAUGCAUAGCAUUGCUAGAUUUUCUUCUGAGAUAAUUCCUGAAUCUAGUACAACUGAUGAAUAUUUCGAACAAUCACAUGAGGAAGUCCUUGAGAAGGAUAACAAUGAAGUUCCUAUAAGGAACAAGAGACAAAGGAUUGCAAAAUCCUUUGGUGAUGACUUCAUUGUAUACCUUGUGGACGACACACCCAAGACGAUUGCAGAAGCAUAUGCAUCUCCGGAUGUAGAUGAUUGGAAAGAAGCUGUUCAUAAUGAGAUGGACUCAAUUCUUUCUAAUGGAACUUGGGAACUAACUGAUAGACCAUAUGGUUGUAAACCUGUGGGCUGUAAGUGGGUGUUCAAAAAGAAGCUAAAGCCUGAUGGUACUAUUGAUAAGUACAAGGCUCGGCUAGUGGCCAAGGGCUACACUCAGAAAGAAGGCGAAGAUUACUUUGACACCUAUUCACCCAUUGCUAGAAUGACCACCAUUCGAGUGUUACUUUCCUUGGCUGCCUCUUAUGGUCUUAUCAUUCAUCAAAUGGAUGUAAAGACAGCUUUUCUCAAUGGAGAGUUGGAAGAGGAGAUCUAUAUGGAUCAGCCUGACUGGUUUGUGGUAAAGGGUGAAGAGAGAAAGGUGUGCAAGUUGUUAAAAUCUGUGUGUGGUCUGAAACAGGCACCUAAGCAAUGGCAUGAGAAGUUUGAAAGAACUCUGACUUCUGCAGGAUUUGUCAUUAACGAGGCUGAUAGGUGUGUUUACUAUCGCCAUGGUGGGGGCAAUAGUGUCAUAUUAUGGUUGUAUGUGGACGACAUACUGAUCUUUGGUACAAACAUUAAUGCAAUUAAUGAGGUUAAGUCUUUUCUAUCAAAGAGUUUUGACAUGAAAGAUCUGGGAGAAGCCGAUGUAAUUCUAAACAUCAAACUUAUUAAGGAUGAGAGUGGGAUUACAUUAACGCAAUCUCACUAUGUUGAGAAGGUCUUGAACCGAUUCGGUUUUAUGGAUAGCAAGCCUUCUCCAACACCUUAUGAUCCCAGCGUGACACUCAGAAAGAACAAGAAAGAAACGAGAGAUCAAUUAAGAUACUCUCAAAUUGUCGGUUCACUCAUGUACUUAGCUAGCGCUACAAGACCAGAUAUCUCUUUUGCUGUGAGCAAACUGAGUAGGUUCAUGUCCAACCCGGGUGAUGAUCAUUGGCAUGCACUAGAAAGGGUCUUGCGCUAUCUGAGAGGUACUAUGAGUUACGGAAUUACUUAUUCAGGGCAUCCUGCUGUGCUAGAAGGAUAUAGUGAUUCAAAUUGGAUCUCCGAUGUUGAUGUACUCUACGCAACAAGUGGGUAUGUAUUUACUCAUGGUGGUGGCGCAGUGUCAUGGAGGUCUUGCAAGCAAACCAUAUUGACGAGGUCAACUAUGGAAGCAGAAUUAACUGCUUUGGACACAGCUACUGUUGAGGCAGAAUGGCUACGUAAGCUCUUGAUGGACUUGCCGGUUGUUGAAAACCUGUACCGGCUAUUCUUAUGA